CAGCGCCCGUGCCGUUUGAAUAUCAAAUGCAUCUGCGCCCAUCUGUGUGCCAAUGGGCGUGCUGGUCUUACAGGGAGGUGUGUUCAGGUGCAUUCUUGUCGUAUUGCUAUCUUGAAGCAGCAGGAAGUGAUCA